rnacentral:pre_miRNA from 1 species
AUACUACUUCCUCCGUCCGGAAAUACUUGUCUAGAAAUGGAUAUAUCUAGAUUUAUUUUAGUUAUAAAUACAUCAAUUUUAUUCAUCUCUAGGACAGGUAUUUUUGGAUGAAUGGAGUAUUAA